rnacentral:rRNA from 1 species
ACCACCGGCGGACGGCUCAGUAACACGUCGGUAACCUACCCUCGGGAGGGGGAUAACCCCGGGAAGCUGGGGCUAAUUCCCCAUAGGCCUGAGGUACUGGAAGGUCCUCAGGCCGAAAGGGACUUAUGUCCGCCCGAGGAUGGGCCGGCGGCCGAUUAGGUAGUUGGUGGGGUAAUGGCCCACCAAGCCGAAGAUCGGUACGGGCUGUGAGAGCAGGAGCCCGGAGAUGGACACUGAGACACGGGUCCAGGCCCUACGGGGCGCAGCAGGCGCGAAACCUCCGCAAUGCGGGAAACCGCGACGGGGGGACCCCGAGCGCCGUGGCAACGCCACGGCUUUUCCGGAGUGUAAAAAGCUCCGGGAAUAAGGGCUGGGCAAGGCCGGUGGCAGCCGCCGCGGUAAUACCGGCGGCCCGAGUGGUGGCCGCUAUUAUUGGGCCUAAAGCGUCCGUAGCCGGGCCCGUAAGUCCCUGGCGAAGUCCCACGGCUCAACCGUGGGGCUUGCUGGGGAUACUGCGGGUCUUGGGACCGGGAGAGGCGGGGGGUACCCCUGGGGUAGGGGUGAAAUCCUAUAAUCCCAGGGGGACCGCCAGUGGCGAAG